AACGAGCGCAACCCUUGUCCUUAGUUACCAGCACGUUAUGGUGGGCACUCUAAGGAGGAACUGCCGGUGACAAACCGGAGGAAGGUGGGGAUGACGUCAAGUCAUCAUGGCCCUUACGGCCUGGGCUACACACGUGCUACAAUGGUCGGUACAAAGGGUUGCCAAGCCGCGAGGUGGAGCUAAUCCCAUAAAACCGAUCGUAGUCCGGAUCGCAGUCUGCAACUCGACUGCGUGAAGUCGGAAUCGCUAGUAAUCGUGAAUCAGAAUGUCACGGUGAAUACGUUCCCGGGCCUU
rnacentral:rRNA from 1 species